UUUUUCCUCAGUCUUCACUCCCCAGCCUAACUCAGGAACGCGCCGCUGCUGGCCUGCCGCUCCCCCAUCGACCCUACCGUCGUACCGCCAUGGCCACGGUGCCCUGUUCCACCCACAGAGACAUCUCCAUGCCACUCCUCUCGUGUGUCCUAGUUGUGCUACAGGCACUGCUGCCGUCGCGGGAAGCGAGCCCCGCCGUCGUCGCGCAGCUGUCUGCAGGCGCCGCCACCGCGCCGUCGCAGGGCGCCGCCGGCAACGGGGGAGAUAGUGCAGCCGCUUCCUGCUGCUUUUCCAUGCGAGCGAGUUGAGGGCAGCCGCACGCACCGACGCACAGGCUCGUGAAGUCCCGAUCCGUUCUGAACACAUGUAUCUGAAGGAGAAAGAAGACGGCGCCCAACGCCUCUGCUCCAAAGCAGGCACCACAGAAGCAGAAUUGUCCUGCUGGCUGUGAUCCGAAAUGCCAGUUUGAAGUGUUCUAGAGCCAGAUCCACUGGUACGCACGGUUCACCUCCCUGUUCCCUGUUUCACCCACCGGUAUGUACGCACUUAUUUUCACUCUACCCAUUAGUGAUGUUUAGAUCUGUAUAAGAUUCAACACGCUGUGAUACUGGGUAUAUCUAUUUUUCAUGUAGUACUUUAGUAUUAUCUAUUUUGAGAUUAAACACGCUGGUUUUAACCUACAACUACCAUAUUGAACAAAACUUACUUGUGACAAAUCUUUUAGAUAAAAUUUGAACUCAACAUUGUUUAUAUCAACAUAGUUUCUUUGUUUGAUUCUGAAAGUGCUAUAACAUUUGGUGAGCUUGUGCACCUUACUAAGAUGCUUUAAAUUCUAAUCUUCUCUGAAAGUAUCUUACUAAAAUGGUUUAAAUUCUAAUAUUCUCUGAAAGUGCAGAUCUGGAACAUUUGGUGAUACAUUGUGUUGCUGAAACUUGACAUAUUCUGCUGCUGCAACUUGAUGAACUAUGCUACUGCAACUUCAUAUAUGGAUGCUGCUGCUGCAACUUCAUGCAAUUUUGGGAACCUGUAAUUUGUUGGUGGCUUAUGUGCCAUGGUGCAUUGCACGAUGUGGUGCUUUAUGUAACUUUGUAUCUCAUCUUAUGAGAAUAAACUUGAGAUCUUAUGGUGCUGGAUUGAGUUCUUAUAUAAAUAAAAUUGAAUUGUUUGUCUA